GGAGGCAUGGCUCAGCAGUAAGAGCACCUGCCUCAGAAGUACAAGGCCCUGAGUUCCAAUCCCAGUGCCAGCC
rnacentral:tRNA from 1 species